AGUGAACGCUGGCGGUAGGCCUAACACAUGCAAGUCGAACGGCAGCACAGUAAGAGCUUGCUCUUACGGGUGGCGAGUGGCGGACGGGUGAGGAAUACAUCGGAAUCUACUUUUUCGUGGGGGAUAACGUAGGGAAACUUACGCUAAUACCGCAUACGACCUACGGGUGAAAGCAGGGGAUCUUCGGACCUUGCGCGAUUGAAUGAGCCGAUGUCGGAUUAGCUAGUUGGCGGGGUAAAGGCCCACCAAGGCGACGAUCCGUAGCUGGUCUGAGAGGAUGAUCAGCCACACUGGAACUGAGACACGGUCCAGACUCCUACGGGAGGCAGCAGUGGGGAAUAUUGGACAAUGGGCGCAAGCCUGAUCCAGCCAGACCGCGUGGGUGAAGAGGGCCUUCGGGUUGUAAAGCCCUUUUGUUGGGAAAGAAAAGCAGCAGGUUAAUACCCCGCUGUUCUGACGGUACCCAAAGAAUAAGCACCGGCUAACUUCGUG
rnacentral:rRNA from 1 species